rnacentral:rRNA from 1 species
GACGGAGGAUGCAAGUGUUAUCCGGAAUCACUGGGCGUAAAGCGUCUGUAGGUGGUUUAAUAAGUCAACUGUUAAAUCUUGAGGCUCAACCUCAAAAUCGCAGUCGAAACUAUUAGGCUAGAGUAUAGUAGGGGUAAAGGGAAUUUCCAGUGGAGCGGUGAAAUGCGUAGAGAUUGGAAAGAACACCGGUGGCGAAGGCGGCGACCUGGUCCUUGACUGACGCUGAGGCGCGAAAGCGUGGGGAGCAAACAGG